rnacentral:rRNA from 1 species
AGAUUGAACGCUAGCGGGAUGCUUUACACAUGCAAGUCGAACGGCAGCGCGGACUUCGGUCUGGCGGCGAGUGGCGAACGGGCGAGUAAUAUAUCGGAACGUGCCCAGUAGCGGGGGAUAACUACGCGAAAGCGUGGCUAAUACCGCAUACGCCCUACGGGGGAAAGGGGGGGAUUCUUCGGAACCUCUCACUAUUGGAGCGGCCGAUAUCAGAUUAGCUAGUUGGUGAGGUAAAGGCUCACCAAGGCGACGAUCUGUAGCUGGUUUGAGAGGACGACCAGCCACACUGGGACUGAGACACGGCCCAGACCUCCUAGGGAGCAGCAGGUGGGAAUUUGGACAAGUGGGGAAACCUGGACUCGAGCCAUCCCGCGUGUGCG